UACAGAGGGGGCAAGCGUUGUUCGGAAUUACUGGGCGUAAAGGGCGCGUAGGCGGCCUGUUAAGUCGGAUGUGAAAGCCCCGGGCUCAACUCGGGAAGUGGCAUUCGAAACUGGCAGGCUUGAAUAUGGAAGAGGGUCGCGGAAUUCCCGGUGUGAGAGGUGAAAUUCGUAGAUAUCGGGAGGAACACCAGUGGCGAAGGCGGCGACCUGGGCCAUAUUGACGCUGAGGUGCGAAAGCGUGGGGAGCAAACAGG
rnacentral:rRNA from 1 species